AAUGCACGAAAGUGUGACGGAGCGAUGCCGCGUGAUGGAUGAAGGCUUUAGGGUCGUAAACAUCUUUUAUCAGGGACGAACAAAUGACGGUACCUGAGGAAUAAGGGGUUGCUAACUACGUGCCAGCAGCAGCGGUGAUACGUAGACCCCGAGCGUUGUCCGGAUUUAUUGGGUGUAAAGCGUCCGCAGGCGGUUUGGUAAGUGAUAUGUCAAAUCUUCAGGCUCAACCUGGAGGCUGCGUAUCAUACUGCCAAACUAGAGGUUGGGAGAGGUACACGGAAUUGUCGGUGUAGCGGUAAAAUGCGUUAAUAUCGACAAGAACACCAAAUGCGAAGGCAGUGUACUGGAACAAACCUGACGCUCAGGGACGAAAGCGUGGGUAGCGAAUGGGAUU
rnacentral:rRNA from 1 species